AGUGUGUUUAGGGAUUGAACUAUUCAGCCUGUGUUGGUAGAGGGAUGUACUGGAGGGGGGGUCGCCACAGUUUUGAGACGAGAAACCACUUGUCGUUCUAUUUCUUUCGAGACGCUGGCCGAGAAGGUUACUCUAGUCAUUAUUGCUGGGUACUUUCUUUCCUGAAUCCUGACUUAGUUCUUCAUAAAAAGGUUGGUUGAGAUUGUUCUCAAUGUGGGAUGCCAAAUCAACAAGAUGAGAUGAGAUGCCUCUACCAUGUUGCGAGAUGAAAAUGUGCACACUAGGCGAGCUGAAAUGGUUUCAUUGGUUAGAGAAAGUUUGAGCUGUUCAUGGUUGUGAUGUUUGGUGUGGCAGUCAUUUUCUGAUUGAGACGUGCACUGAAAUGGAUCUUCUACAGACUUGCGUGUUGGUUCAACAUCAUACUUCCAUUUACCAUGUUGGUGUCCAUGCAGAGUUGAGCUGUUGUGCAAAAUAAUAGGUGUUGCCUCAUGGCUUUCUGGUAAUUUGUUGGUGUGUUCUUCUGCUACCUGUAUCUAUGUUGAGUUCAAUCGAACGGCGCCGUUCCGGACUUGAUACAUUGGUGAAGCUAAGAAGAGGUUGCUGAACUUCAAAGAGAUUGAAAAAUUAUAUAAUCCUAGAGAUUUUUCAAAUUCAUAUCUGUUCUCUCUUUCCCCAAGUAAACAAAAUUUCCUCCUAGGUAGUUGUGUGGAUGGGGAAUUGUAAUAAGAUUUUAUAUUUUCUGUGAGAAGCUCAGUUAAAACCAUAAAAAUCUUGUGUACUGAUUAACUUACAUCUACCAUAACAAACCUGAAAUAAUCAAUAAUACCACCUUGUUAUAAAAAUAAAUUAUUGAAAUCAUAA